UGGGGAAUAUUGGACAAUGGGGGAAACCCUGAUCCAGCAAUGCCGCGUGAGUGAAGAAGGCCUUAGGGUUGUAAAGCUCUUUCGCCCGCGAAGAUAAUGACGGUAGCGGGAGAAGAAGCCCCGGCUAACUCCGUGCCAGCAGCCGCGGUAAUACGGAGGGGGCUAGCGUUGUUCGGAAUUACUGGGCGUAAAGCGUACGUAGGCGGAUGCGCAAGUUGGGGGUGAAAUCCCGGGGCUUAACCUCGGAAUUGCCCUCAAAACUGCACGUCUUGAGACCGAGAGAGGUAAGGGGAAUUCCUAUUGUAGAGGUGAAAAUCGUAGAUAUUAGGAAGGACACCAGUGGCGAAGGCGCCUUACUGGCUCGGUACUGACGCUGAGGUACGAAAGCGUGGGGAGCAAACA
rnacentral:rRNA from 1 species